GGAACUAACGGAGAUUGUGUGCCAAGUGUCCAUCGUCGGGUCGACGAUGCAAGGUGGAGGGGGUGGAAUGUAGCAGCAUAUAAUUAUGCGGCUGGGCGUGGCCAGGAGCCAAUUAUGAUGGGGUCGUGGAUAAAAGAGCGGCCCCUCCUACGCCUCCUCCCUCUGUCUCCCGCUGGCGUAAUUUCCGGGACGUCCUGUGUGGCUGCAACAGGGGCUGUGGGUGGAUUCUGGCUCCAUGUGGUCUCCUUGUCUGGGGCUGACGGCCUGUAGUGGUGUGGGUGAUCGUAGGAGAUCCUCCUGUCUGCUGUGCCGUUUCCAGGGAUGUGGGUCGUUCACGGGUGUGCUCUUUUCACGUGUGUCUUGGGGAACUUUUACUUUGGGGACCCCUCCUUUCGCUUGCCCUAGCUACUUUUAGGCCGAAGCCCUUGAUUAACUUUUGUUUUUGCAUUUUCUUUUGUUUGGAUCCUUUGUAUUAAUAAAAUAUUAUUGUGACUAA